UGAAGGCGGGCUGGAACCUCUCGGGGUUACAGCCUUGCUGAAUUAUUCACCCUUGUCUUUUGCGUACUUCUUGUUUCCUUGGUGGGUUCGCCCACCACUAGGACAAACAUAAACCUUUUGUAAUUGCAAUCAGCGUCAGUAACAAAUUAAUAAUUACAACUUUCAACAACGGAUCUCUUGGUUCUGGCAUCGAUGAAGAACGCAGCGAAAUGCGAUAAGUAGUGUGAAUUGCAGAAUUCAGUGAAUCAUCGAAUCUUUGAACGCACAUUGCGCCCUUUGGUAUUCCAAAGGGCAUGCCUGUUCGAGCGUCAUUUGUACCCUCAAGCUUUGCUUGGUGUUGGGCGUCUUGUCUCUAGCUUUGCUGGAGACUCGCCUUAAAGUAAUUGGCAGCCGGCCUACUGGUUUCGGAGCGCAGCACAAGUCGCACUCUCUAUCAGCAAAGGUCUAGCAUCCAUUAAGCCUUUUUUUCAACUUUUGACCUCGGAUCAGGUAGGGAUACCCGCUGAACUUAAGCAUAUCAUAAGUGGGGAGGAAA
rnacentral:rRNA from 1 species